CAGCAGCAGCCGCGGUAAAACGGAGGGUGCAAGCGUUAAUCGGAAUUACUGGGCGUAAAGCGUGCGUAGGCGGUUCGUUAAGUCUGUUGUGAAAGCCCCGGGCUCAACCUGGGAAUGGCAGUGGAUACUGGCGAGCUAGAGUGUGUCAGAGGAUGGUGGAAUUCCCGGUGUAGCGGUGAAAUGCGUAGAGAUCGGGAGAAACAUCAGUGGCGAAGGCGGCCAUCUGGGACAACACUGACGCUGAGGCACGAAAGCGUGGGGAGCAAACAGGAUUAGAUACCCGAGUAGUCCCUGUCUCUUAUAC
rnacentral:rRNA from 1 species